rnacentral:rRNA from 1 species
CAAUAGCGUAUAUUAAAGUUGUUGCAGUUAAAAAGCUCGUAGUUGAACUUCAGACCUGGCCGGGCGGUCUGCCUCACGGUAUGUACUGUCUGGCUGGGUCUUACCUCUUGGUGAGCCGGCAUGCUCUUUACUGGGUGUGUCGGGGAACCAGGACUUUUACCUUGAGAAAAUUAGAGUGUUCAAAGCAGGCCUUUGCCCGAAUACAUUAGCAUGGAAUAAUAAAAUAGGACGUGCGGUUCUAUUUUGUUGGUUUCUAGAGUCGCCGUAAUGAUUAAUAGGGAUAGUUGGGGGCAUUAGUAUUCAGUUGCUAGAGGUGAAAUUCUUGGAUUUACUGAAGACUAACUAUUGCGAAAGCAUUUGCCAAGGAUGUUUUCAUUA